GAUCCUGGCUUAGGAUGAACGCUGGCGGCGUGCCUAACACAUGCAAGUCGAGCGAUUCUCUUCGGAGAAGAGCGGCGGACGGGUGAGUAACGCGUGGGUAACCUGCCUCAUACACAUGGAUAACAUACCGAAAGGUAUGCUAAUACAGGAUAAUAUAAGAGAUUCACAUGGAUUUCUUAUCAAAGCUCCGGCGGUAUGAGAUGGACCCGCGUCUGAUUAGCUAGUUGGUAAGGUAACGGCUUACCAAGGCGACGAUCAGUAGCCGACCUGAGAGGGUGAUCGGCCACAUUGGAACUGAGACACGGUCCAAACUCCUACGGGAGGCAGCAGUGGGGAAUAUUGCACAAUGGGCGAAAGCCUGAUGCAGCAACGCCGCGUGAGUGAUGAAGGCCUUCGGGUCGUAAAACUCUGUCCUCAAGGAAGAUAAUGACGGUACUUGAGGAGGAAGCCCCGGCUAACUACGUGCCAGCCGCCGC
rnacentral:rRNA from 1 species